CCACCCUUAGCUCAGCUGGAUAGAGCGUACCCCUCCGGAGGGUAAGGUCGCAGGUUCGACUCCUGCAGGGUGGGCCA
rnacentral:tRNA from 1 species